GCCGUUGGAAGACAGGGGUAUAUAUACCCCUCCUACUUGACCACAACGGUCAUCUGAGCCAUUUACUUCGUCUUCCUUCAUCCUAACCAUUACAGAACACCAGUGCUCACUUCUCUCUCUCUCUUCCAUUGUUGCUUCUCAAGCUCUCAAGCAAAUCCAUCUUUCCCACCAUCAAUUCUUGAGAGAAAAGGUUGCAAACUUCGA
rnacentral:lncRNA from 1 species